rnacentral:rRNA from 1 species
GACAGAGGUUGCAAGCGUUGUUCGGAAUUACUGGGCAUAAAGCGCACGUAGGCGGUCCGCUAAGUCAUGUGUGAAAUCCCCCGGCUCAACCGGGGAAUGGCGCCUGAUACUGGCGGACUCGAGAUCGGUAGGGGUGAGUGGAACUCCAGGUGGAGCGGUGAAAUGCGUAGAUAUCUGGAGGAACACCGGUGGCGAAGGCGGCAUCCUGGACCGAGAUUGACGCUGAGGCGCGAAAGCCAGGGGAGCAAACGGG